rnacentral:sRNA from 1 species
UUGCAGCCUCGAACUGCUGCCGGGCAGCGC